rnacentral:lncRNA from 1 species
AUGGUCAAGGUCAAGCGUUAGUCGGGUUGACGAGGUGUGCCCUUGCUGUGAUGCAAUACACGUGGAGCUUUGCCUCUGUGGUCUUCCCCACUAAAACUCACAGCCUUCAUCUCACCGUGAGAAAAAAAAAUCAGGCAAAUUCUGAUAGAGGAGCAUCCUACAAUAUCCCUCAUCAGUCCUCCUGAAAACCACCAAGAUCAUCCAAAACCCCGAGUCAGAAACUGUCACAGCAAGAGGGGUCUAAAGACACAUGAUGACUAGAUGUCACGUGAGACCCUGGAUGGGAUCCUGGAACAGAAAAUGGAUAUUAGGUAAAAACGAAGGAAAUCCGAAUAAUCUAGGGACUUUAGUUCCUAAUAAUACGUCGGUAUUGGUUCGCUAAUUAUAACAAAAUUACUAUACUAAUGUUAGGUAUUAAUAAUAGGGGCAUGGCAUAUGGGAACUCUGAACUAUAUGCUCAAUAUAUCUGUAAAUCUAAAACUAUUUUUUUUGAAGAGCAUCUUUUUUUUUUUUUUUUUUUUAACCCUGCAGCAAUGAGCUUUGGGAUGGACAGCCUGUGAACCAGACUCUCCCUCUCUCCAGGAAAUUUGACUAUACUUUCUGCUCCACCACCUAAACUUGAGAGUUUUAUUGAGGUCCUGUUCUUUUCGGUGACAUCCCACCUCUUCAGCAACACCUUCCCGCCCUUCCAGUUUGAGUGCUCGGUAGCUGCACAUCCUGUGAACAGGUUGCACACACAGGAAUCUCAACAUUAUGAAUAACUGCAAGCAGGAUGACACCGGGAUCCUCUUCUCUCCCUCCCAAUGCCUGCAGUGGAUAUCUGGACUACAUAUGCAGUGGGAGAGCUGGAAGAGCCUGUUACAAACCUCAGCCCAUUAGCAUCUCCCAGCUCUGUCUUUUGAGAAGAUGACUGAGAGGAAGGUGGUAUUGAGAAAACAAAGCAUCCAGCCUUUGUGAAGCUGAGCCUUAAGGUCCCCUCUCCAGCCCUGGCUGACCCCAGACCCUCGUUUUCUUCUCUGGCAUCCAACUUCAAGGAUUGGCCUGUUUCCCUUUAACUAUAGCUACCACUCAGCUCACUCGCUGAAGAAGGCAGAGCCCACGCCUCCUGGCACAGUUUCCCUUCGGCUACCUAAGGCAAGCGAAUGAGUCUUUUUCAUCGUAAUGAGCUGUAUUUCCCUCACUAUGGAACAACAGGGGCUAAACAAAUUAAUAAAUAUGCU